UUAAUUUUGCAAUUUGAACACCCUCAAGCUCGCACUCAAGCUUGAAUUCGACGAUAACCUUUAGGCUCUUGCUUAAAUUAAUCUCUUUUUUAGUUUGUUCAAAUUGAAUCACUAAACAAACUGGAGUUAGUUCAGAAUGAAUCCACUCCUUGGGAUCAUCAUUUUCACUGGAGUCCUUCAAUUUCCCCAUAUUUGAAAACCUAAGAAAAGAACAAAAAUUCAAAAACUGGACUCUCUGACAGUGUGACUGUGAGCGCAACCGAAGAGCCGAGACGGCGGGGCCUGGCCUACACGUGACGCUUAAAGUUACGCGCCAUGAAACACCACCAACCACAUCAAUGCGACAACGAUCGCCUCACCGGCGAAUUUUCAACUAUCAGUCUUCGGAGCUCCACCUGUCACUCUGACUCAACUCCACAGCGUUUGACAAGGCAAGGCCUGUCGAGUUAAGCUGAUUUUUAUGUAUAGUUUCUUUCUCUCUCUUUUUUUUUGUCCUGUAUUUUCAGCGGAAAGAUAAUAAGGUACGCAUUUGAGGAUUUUCUUUUUGUAUUUUUAAUUUUUAUAAUUGAAUUUAUAUUAAAUUGACAAGGUCGUUUCUUCAACUCAUAACGAAUCAUUCCGUUCCACUGAGCUUUAAUUUUUUUCAUUAAUUAGUUAUUUGAAUUCAAGUGAUUUCCUUUACUGGUACAACAACUUGACAUCAGUUCAAAUUCGUCACCUUGAAAAGUUCAAAAUCGGUAGUGCUGCUUCGUUGAAAAAGUUAGUGUAUAUAAACACAUGCUUGCAUUUUAUUUAAUCAUUUUGCAGGUUUUUUCUACUGACUAGCAACUUUGUCUUCAGUAAGCUUUCGAAUUCUUUUUCUUUUUAAUGGAAUUUUCUGCUUUCUUGUGGAAUUUAGAUAUUUUGUGUGUUUGUUUUAUUGGGAAAUCACUAAAAUUGUUGAUUAUUGAAGAGACCCAAUCCAGGGGACCUCGAAUCUUUGAUAAAAAUGGGAAUUUGUUAGGAAGAAGAAAAAUCCGCAAGCUUUGCGUUUACUUGAGCGUUUGCUUGCAUUCGAUCCUUAAGAUUGUUCAUCUGCUGAAGAGAUAAGAAUUAAUGAAACUGAGUUUAAACGGGCUUUUAUACAUAAUUAUAUUUGUGUGGUCAGUAUAUUCUAAAUUCUGUAUGCAUCUCUUUGCUGACCCUCGCCAUUGUUCUUUUAACAGGCCUUAGCUGAUCCACAUUUCCAUGGACUGGUUAAUGGGAAGAAAUAUCUAGGUAACCCAUUUCAAAACUAGAGUUCGAAUUUGAGAGGAAAUUGACAGAAGAGGAUGUAAGAGAGCUAAUUUAUAGAGAGAUCUUAGAGUAUCAUCCACACAUGCUGCAAGAGUACCUUGAAGGCACAGACCAUGUUGGUUUCAUGUAUCCAAGGUGUACACUCUUGAUACGUACGGUUGUGCAAGCUACCAAAAAAUACAUAAGAAAUCACAACAAGAGGAAAAGGCAGAAAUACUCUUAGGCGUACCUGUGGGUGUUGCACAACUAGACCAUAAAUCUUUUAUUUGUAGGUGUAAACAUCUACCAGAUGUUUCUCUGUACUGAAAAGCGCUUGUGUAGAAGGAGACUCCCAGGACUUGAGUGAUAUUGAACAGUUUGCUUGUCUAGAGGAGCAGUAUGGUAAAAGAGAAGCAGCAUCCCACUCCAAAGAAAAUAUAGCUCCUUGGCCAAGGAAAGAAUAAGUUCCAAUGAUGAGUCUGCCAAUCUAACUGAUCUUACAAAAAAGCGAACUGCUACUUGGGCAACUCUUCAGAGCCCUCCAAGGCUGCAGGAAUUUGCGGAUUUGAAAUCUGGUAGUAGAAAUACUUCACAGAAUGGCUCUAGCCAUCGUAAGUGCAGCGCCCACUUGAGGACCAAUAGCAUUAGUGCUUCAAAGUGCAUGGACGUGAGCAAGUGACCAGCUUGUCAGUUCACUGACAGAGAUAACGGAAAAGGUACCUCAUAAACCAUGAUCCCUCAAGUCCUGGAAAAUUCUUCUGCAAUGAAAGAUAUGUUAUUGUUAACAUAUAUUAUUUUAUCUAACCAUCGAUUUUUUUGGAUCCAACCAAUCUCUACAGAUGCAAUUCUGUAAACCUAGUUUUACAUAGAGAGUGCCUUGCAGUUAACCCUUCCAUUAAUGACCUUACUUCCAAAAUGAUUAAAGAUGAUUAAUGAUUCCACAACUAAUUUGUACGCUGUCCAAACAGCUAUGUUGGAGUGUGCAGUUUUUGUUCAUUUGUUUUUGAGUAAAGAUUUCUAGAAUUCACCCAUGAACGGUUAGCGUAGUGUUCAGGUACGGGGUUUAUUCUAACAAGGUUUUGGGUUUGAAGCCUCUGAUCUUAUGGCUAAAAUAGGGUUCAGUGCACACAUGCCAAAGUAGAAUUCAACCCGGGCUAGUAAGGGCUCCAAAAUUGUUGUAAGAUGAGAUUGAGGGAUUUUUAUGAUUACACGUAAGCAUUUAUACUAGUGUUUGUAUCCAUUGUUAUUUGUGAAAGUAUUUUAUUUUUUGUUUUA